rnacentral:rRNA from 1 species
AGAGUUUGUUCCUGGCUCAGGACGAACGCUGGCGGCGCGCCUAACACAUGCAAGUCGAACGAGCGAGAGAGAGCUUGCUUUCUCGAGCGAGUGGCGAACGGGUGAGUAACGCGUGAGGAACCUGCCUCAAAGAGGGGGACAACAGUUGGAAACGACUGCUAAUACCGCAUAAGCCCACGGCUCGGCAUCGAGCAGAGGGAAAAGGAGCAAUCCGCUUUGAGAUGGCCUCGCGUCCGAUUAGCUAGUUGGUGAGGUAACGGCCCACCAAGGCGACGAUCGGUAGCCGGACUGAGAGGUUGAACGGCCACAUUGGGACUGAGACACGGCCCAGACUCCUACGGGAGGCAGCAGUGGGGAAUAUUGCACAAUGGGGGGAACCCUGAUGCAGCGACGCCGCGUGGAGGAAGAAGGUCUUCGGAUUGUAAACUCCUGUUGUUGGGGAAGAUAAUGACGGUACCCAACAAGGAAGUGACGGCUAACUACGUGCCAGCAGCCGCGGUAAAACGUAGGUCACAAGCGUUGUCCGGAAUUACUGGGUGUAAAGGGAGCGCAGGCGGGAAGACAAGUUGGAAGUGAAAUCUAUGGGCUCAACCCAUAAACUGCUUUCAAAACUGUUUUUCUUGAGUAGUGCAGAGGUAGGCGGAAUUCCCGGUGUAGCGGUGGAAUGCGUAGAUAUCGGGAGGAACACCAGUGGCGAAGGCGGCCUACUGGGCACCAACUGACGCUGAGGCUCGAAAGUGUGGGUAGCAAACAGGAUUAGAUACCCUGGUAGUCCACACUGUAAACGAUGAUUACUAGGUGUUGGAGGAUUGACCCCUUCAGUGCCGCAGUUAACACAAUAAGUAAUCCACCUGGGGAGUACGACCGCAAGGUUGAAACUCAAAGGAAUUGACGGGGGCCCGCACAAGCAGCGGAGCAUGUGGUU